UACGAAGGGGCUAGCGUUGCUCGGAAUCACUGGCGUAAAGCGCACGUAGGCGGUCUUUAAGUCAGGGUGAAAUCCUGGAGCUCAACUCCAGAACUGCCUUUGAUACUGAGAGGCUUGAGUCCGGGAGAGGUGAGUGGAACUGCGAGUGUAGAGGUGAAAUUCGUAGAUAUUCGCAAGAACACCAGUGGCGAAGGCGGCUCACUGGCCCGGUACUGACGCUGAGGUGCGAAAGCGUGGGAGCAACAGG
rnacentral:rRNA from 1 species